GACGAACGCUGGCGGCGUGCUUAACACAUGCAAGUUGAACGGGGCAUAUUUGAAGGGUAACCGGAGGGUAUGUCUAGUGGCGAACGGGUGAGUAAUGCAUGAGAACGUAUCCUCAAGAGGGGGACAACAUUGGGAAACCGAUGCUAAUACCCCAUAAGCCGGGAGGUAAAAGGAGCAAUCCGCUUGAGGAGCGGUUCAUGUCCUAUCAGCUGGUUGGUGAGGUAACGGCUCACCAAGGCGAAGACGGGUAGCCGGCCUGAGAGGGUGAACGGCCACACUGGAACUGAGAGACGGUCCAGACUCCUACGGGAGGCAGCAGUGGGGAAUAUUGGGCAAUGGGGGAAACCCUGACCCAGCGACGCCGCGUGAGGGAAGAAGGCCUUAGGGUCGUAAACCUCUGUUGUGUGGGAAGAAGAGCGUGACGGUACCACACGAGGAAGUCCCGGCUAACUACGUG
rnacentral:rRNA from 1 species